CCUAGGUGAUACUAUCAGGCUUUGGACUGGGGGAGGUGGUCAAUGAUAUAAAAGAAGCUGCCCUCCCUGCCUUCAAGUUACUUAUAACAGAGUCAUAAACAGAGGCAAGGCUGUCACACUGAUUUUUGUCAACUUUUAUAAAAUGCCUUAAUAAAUUCUAAGCACGAUAAUAAUUGCUUUAAAUGGAUUAUGUCAUUUAAUCUUUGCAAUAAUUCUACAAAGCAGAAACUUUUAUUAUCCUCAUUUUACAGAUAAGGAAGCUGAGGUUUAGAAAGAAGGCAACUUCCCAAAUAUCAUGCAGCUGGUAAAUGAUCAAGCCAGGACCUGAUCUGAGUCAAUUUGAUUCUGGUUUCUAUGCUCUUAAUCCCAAUUUUAUACUAUAACACCCCACUUUCAAUACUAGACAGAUCAACGAGGCAGAAGGUUAACAAGGAUAUCCAGCUAGCUUUUGAUAAGCUAUAAACUAGUUCCUAUAAUUAAAUGUGGUGGAGGACAGGAAGAGGGAGUGACCAAGUUAAAAAAGAAGAGUUCAGUGAAGGCUGGAGUGACCAGGGAUGGGCUCAUGAGGAGAUGAGGUUUAAAAUGAGUCAUAGAGCAGUAAGCUUGUAAUAUAACUUAAAUACCAUCUAAUUUGUUCACUGACCUUUACAGAUAUGGAAACUGAGCCCUCACACAUGGACUGAAUUCUGACAAGCAGAGGAUAAAGGCAGAACAACAUGACUGAAGGCGAUGAGGAACAGCUGAUCACCUGUGGAAGUCAUUUGUCCUAAAUUGUCAUGGACAGACCAUGUGCCUUACAGCAAGA
rnacentral:lncRNA from 1 species